GACGAACGCUGGCGGCGCGCUUAACACAUGCAAGUCGAACGGAAAGGCCUGCUUUCCCUUGUGGAUUGCGGGUACUCGAGUGGCGAACGGGUGAGUAACACGUGAGUGAUCUGCCCCCAACUUGGGUAUAAGCCUGGGAAACUGGGUCUAAUUCCCGAUAGGACUGCAGGGUGGUGCCGGUGGUGGAAAACGAUUUUCUAGUGGUUGGGGAUGAGCUCGCGGCCUAUCAGCUUGUUGGUGGGGUAAUGGCCUACCAAGGCGGCGACGGGUAGCCGGCCUGAGUGGGUGGACGGCGACAUUGAGACUGAGCUUCGGCCCAGACUCCUACGGGAGGCAGCAGUGGGGAAUAGUGGACAAUGGGCGGACGCCUGAUGCAGCGACGCCGCGUGGGGGAUGACGGCCUUCGGGUUGUAAACUCCUUUCGACCGCGAGGAAGCCACCUGGUUGGAAGGGUGGUGACGGUAGUGGUAGAAGAAGCACCGGCUAACUACGUG
rnacentral:rRNA from 1 species